GGCUCUCAGCGCGUUUGCUGAGCGGCUGUGUUUGCUGCUUUGGUUCCCCAUCCGUGUGCUUUAGGGAUUCCCGUCCCCUGAAACUCUGUCCCCAAGGCUUCCAAUAUGAUCCCGAAUGACUCAUGAAUCUGUUCCUCUAGUGCUGACCCCUCGUUCCAUCUGUGUUUCCAACUAACCAUUCGUAAAACAAAGUCUUGCAGGCAUCCCAGCUCCACGCGUCUCAGGGCAAGGCCCUGCCUUCUCUUUCAUGCCAGGUCCGCUCGGGGUCCCCAACCAGGCUGACCAUGUGCCUUCACCCACUGGGUAGAGACCUUGGGGAAAACCUGGGCUCUUCCCUGCUCCCUCAUGUACCCUCGGCCUGCAGCCGGUCAGCCCCCAACCCUGACCAGGAUCCAGGCCAGGGGUCUGGGGCCUGUGUUCAGCCCCCCACUCCAGAGCACAGACCCUGAGCCUCAGACCCCUCUCUAGUGAGGCCCCUCCUUUCACCUGAGGGCACGGCUCUGGCUGGUGCUGGUCAGGUCCCUGACACUGUAGCGGGCUCACCCUGUCCCCCAUCGCUCCCACCCUGUGCCCCACCAGCCCCCCUCCACAUUCUCCAGCGUUAUCUGUCUGAAAUCCAAAUUUCGUCCCAUGACCCCACUCAUAAAAGCCACUGUUGGUUCCCUGUGCAUCCUUUGGUCUGAGCGCCUCACCAAGCGUGAAAUCCCCUUCUCGGUCUUUCCCUGGCCUCCACCCCCCCAUUCUGUGGCCUCUACAGCCAGCGCACCUCAGCCUCCUGGCCUCCUGGACAUGGCGACGUGGCAGGCUUGGCACAGGCCACGCCGGGCCUAUGACCCCCUCCCUCCCCUUUGCUUAGUGACAUCUUUUCAUCCUUUACCUUUCGGCUCUAAGCCACAUCCUCUGUGAAGUCUUUCAAAGAGGCCCCGCCCACCAACAUACCUCGGAGCUCUGUGGCUAUAAUCUGGGUGGACGCACUGUUUUUCUUUUGGGGAGUGUGGAAUUAGGUUUUACUUAUUUAUUGUUUAUUAUUAUUGUUAACUUUUUAAAAUAGAGACACUGGGAAUUGAACCCAAGACCUCGUGCAUGCUAAGCAUGCUCUCUGCCGCUGAGCUCUACCCUCCCCCCACAACGCCCUCCCCGCACAAGUGGACGCGUUUCUGAAUCAGAAGAGCAGAUGGGCAGGUCCAACAGCCCAGCCUGCGCUCCUGGAGACAGGAGGGAACAAAGCGCAGGAGGAGCUCAUGAGAUGGUUCCUUGUUCCCUCUCUCCGCCCUGUGGAGGGGCCAGGAAGGUCCUUCCAAAGCAGGGAGCUGUUGGUGCUCCCUGUAUCUGCCCAGCGGCUGGCCCCCUGCCCAACAUGACCAGCUCAUGAAGAGCACCCCAGGCCAGAGAGUCCUGAAGAUUUGAGCGGAUCCAGACCUCAUGUCAGUAUUUGCAAGAGGAGAGAAAGGCGUCUACCCUCGAAACCUGAGGUCUGCAGUUCACACGCGCUGAGUCACCUCGUCUCCGCAGGGUCACACGUUUUGCACCUGGGAAAUUGCUGCAGAAGAUCAGACUGCGAGCUGGUGUGUCACUAAUUUAAAUACAAGUAAGAAGACUGGAAGGGGAUGGUGCGUAAACAGGGAAACUUACUGCUGAGUCUCAGACUUGUUUUCAGAGACUUGUAAUAGUCUGAUAAAUCCUCUUUCUGAUCGGUAAUGUGUUGGUGAAAUUCUUUAAAUGUUUUUUCCCGUUCUUGGAAAGUGAAAAUGAAUAUAAAUGG